AUGGAGAAGCCCCUGGGAACCUCGUUACUGAUCCUGGUGUUCCAGCUGGGCUGGGUGAACGGCCUGGACAAGGUGGAGCAGACUCCUCUAAGCCUGACCAUCCUGGAGGGAGAGAAAGGCACCCUGAACUGCAGCUUCACAAGCAGUGCUUUUAAUUACCUGUAUUGGUAUCGGCAGGACCCUGGGAAAGGCCCCGUCUCCCUGAUAGUAGUGUAUUCAAACGACAAGGAAAAGACUAAUGGAAGAUUCACAGUCACACUAGAGAAAGGUGACAAACGCAGCUCCCUGCACAUCAGGGACACCCAGUCCGGAGAUUCAACCACCUACCUCUGUGCCGUGGAGACACAAUGA